GUGCUGUACAGGAAAACAAACCCUCUGUGUGUGUGUGACCGGUCAGCAACAAAAGAAGUCCAUCAACUCAUCACUGUGACUCUCAGAGCCGAAGAAACUUUUGAUCCAGCAUUAGAAAAGUUGUUGCUCACACAAUGCCGGACCUUUAACUGGUAUGUAUUUGUUUCAGCAGUCACAUCAUUUGUUUGUGUUCAUCUGAUGUGACAACCUUCACUUCUCUCUGUAAAUCACAGAACUCAGCAUGAGCUGAAGAACUAGCAAAGUCCUGCAGAUCUUCAUUGUGGCUUCCUAGAACCAAGC